rnacentral:rRNA from 1 species
GACGGAGGGGGCUAGCGUUGUUCGGAAUGACUGGGCGUAAAGGGCGCGUAGGCGGUUUUUUAAGUGAGGCGUGAAAGCCCUGGGCUUAACCCAGGAGGUGCGUUUCAUACUGGAAGACUUGAGUACGAGAGAGGAAAGUGGAAUUUCUAGUGUAGAGGUGAAAUUCGUAGAUAUUAGAAAGAACACCAGUGGCGAAGGCGGCUUUCUGGCUCGUAACUGACGCUGAGGUGCGAAAGCAUGGGGAGCGAACAGG